rnacentral:lncRNA from 1 species
UUUGUAAUGCUGAUGAAAGUAAUAGCUGAGACAGUAAAAACAGAAAGAGUCCACUGCAAGCGGGAAAAGCCACAGGCUCUUUCCCCAUUACCCCUCUCCUUCCUUGUCUCAACAAGCUGCUUCCAGUUUUCACCCUCUGCUUCUCUAGGAGGGUCCAACUAUGUGGAAGCUGUCACCUUUGAUGGAAUUUAUCUGAUACCAUAUAACAUAGCACAUCAUUUCUUUUUCCAUGCCCCACCCCUGGAACCUUCUCAAGGUAUUUGACUUCAACCAGAGUUGAAGAUCCCCCAUCUGCAAUACUGCUGCACCUCUCUAAGGAAUAUUAAUUAAAAGCCACAGAGACCCCAGUCAGUUUUAAGGAGGUGUGCCACCAGAAACCAGGGUCAGCACCACACCAAACCAAAGUUAUGGAGGAGUAAAAACCAAAAGUCUUGCAGAAGCAGCAGAUUUGGAGACAAAAAAAGCAGAACCCACAUGCAGAAAGAAAAGAGAGGCACCACGUGACCCUUGAGGCAAAGUGAUAGACAUUGCAGUGCUGCCAGACAGAUUUCCAGUAUCUGUGAGGUCCUGCCGUGCACCAGAGAAGAGAGUUCUGGGAAAACCCCACCCCUAUAACCGCAUUUCCAUGUGAGCUCAUUUAAGUGGGUGUCUGUUCCUUGAAGAAGAAAAAUGAUAUGAAUCAAAACAUCCAACCUAAACUUCAAGUUAUGCUGAUUUAAUUUCAAAAUAAGCUUUUCCAAGGCACUGGCCUUUGUAAUGAAGGUGAAUAUUACAUGUUUGCUAAAAAACAGGGUUUUAUAAAACUCCUCACCUCAUAUAAACAAUUGUAAGUUUCACUAAGUACUAGUCACUCAUAUAUCUGUAAAUCUCAGAGGAAUUUCCCCAAGCACUCUGGCUUCCCAAGUAGGAGAUUGUUUCUCCUAGUUCAAGUCUCAUUUCACUGUUAGGCUGGCUGUUAUUUCAUGGUGAC